GAGAAGAAGAACAGAAGGAUGAAAGCGCCACAUCUGGUUCUGGAACCAUGGCAACUCACACAGCUGAACUCACUGUUUGUGCAUCUUGUGAAUUUUGUCAGGAUUCCUAAAAGGUUGCAAACAGUUUCUUACGAUAAGAAAAUAUAAAGAGACAAACAUCUUAAAAGCUGGAUUUUAAUGAUAUUAUUAGAAGAAAUUAGGGCUUACUGGUGACUGAUGUUUUCUAAGCAUGUUAUGCAUGUUAUGAGUGGCUUAGUUAUUGCCCAAAUAAGGGAGUGGUAAAAGAAGUUAGAACAUGGCUUCUUUUCUCUUCCUUAACCAGCCUAGCCUCAAUUUCUGGCCAAUGACCCAUCCACCCAGGGAAUGGCAGGUAAUCCGUUGAACAA